UAUAUUUUAUGAUGUGGCCGAUAGUAAGAUGGUCGCUGAUAAUAAGUUACUAUGUGCUAAAGAAUGCAUGGAGGUAAAGUUAUGCUGUGCGGCCUUUGCCUAUCAUGAAAACAGAAAAACUUGUUAUUUUUAUAAUUUUAAACUACAGCCAGAUUACGUCAAUAUAGCAGAUCCUGGUCUAGUGACAUUUGUUGAUGUCGAAGAGGAUAGAGAGAAACAGUACAAUGUGACUAUACGAACAGGUGAAAAGUAUAGAGCUGGUACAGAUGCUAAGGUUAGGAUUCAGCUGUUUGGAACUAAGAGCACCACCAGUCAACAUUUGUUAGACAAACCUGGUUACAGAGAUUUUCAAAAAUCUGCCAAGGAUACGUAUAAGGUAAAUGAUGUGGAUGUCGGAAACAUAACCGCUGUUAAAGUGAGUCACGAUAAUUCAAAACAUAAUCCAGGCUGG